rnacentral:rRNA from 1 species
CCAGACUCCUACGGGAGGCAGCAGUGGGGAACAUUGCACAAUGGGCGAAAGCCUGAUGCAGCAACGCCGCGUGAGCGAUGAAGGCCUUCGGGUCGUAAAGCUCUGUCCUCAAGGAAGAUAAUGACGGUACUUGAGGAGGAAGCACCGGCUAACUCCGUGCCAGCAGCCGCGGUAAUACGGAGGGUGCAAGCGUUGUCCGGAAUCAUUGGGCGUAAAGAGUUCGUAGGCGGUAUGUUAAGUCUGGUGUUAAAUGCAGAAGCUCAACUUCUGUUCGGCACUGGAUACUGGCAAACUAGAAUGCGGUAGAGGUAAAGGGAAUUCCUGGUGUAGCGGUGAAAUGCGUAGAUAUUAGGAGGAACACCAGUGGCGAAGGCGGUCUGCUGGACAGCAACUGACGCUGAGGCGCGAAAGCGUGGGGAGCAAACAGGAUUAGAUACCCCGGUAA